AUUUUAGUAGCAAUAAAUCACCCUCAUAAAUUAAAGGACGAUCAGAUAUUAUCUACACGGUGGGACACCCGAAGGUGAUAAUACUUGCACUGGUGUCUGAAUGGUUUCUCCAGCACCCACCACUGGGCCUCCAAGCCUCAGCCCCAAGGUUCAGAUAUUUUAGGGUAACCGUCAACAGACACUGCUGCCAUGGCAUCAAAUCUCCACACUCGCACUUUCUACGGGGUCAACUAUGGAUCGCUUGAACGCAUCACCUGAGGGCUUGAGUUGGCCGCAGCUCCUCUGGGCUCUGAAAGGCUCCACACGACUUCUUGUUCCAAGACUGAGACUGAAGGGGCCGCCACCUGUCAUCCACUUCUCUCAAGGCACAGCAUGCAAAUUCCAGAGGCCGGAGCCAAGGUGCAGAGAGCUGGUGUGGCGUUUCACGUGUGGCCUUGUACAGGUUGGGUCUGCUCCCAGCUCAUUAGCCAAGCAGUGUGCAGGGCAGAGCUGGACACUGCACCUGAGCAGGUGGGCACUGCAACCCAGGCGGCGUGGCAGGUGCAGACGAGGGAGACUGAGACAGCUUACCCUGUGCAGGGAAGAUGGAAUGCGGUAACUAUAUCAUCACAAAAGCAAACAGCUGACUGAUGCAUCCCGACGCAAAGAGAACAGGAGCACCGUUUAUCAGGGUAUGCACUUUCCUUUUGAAAAUAAUGUUCCUGAAACAUGAACCUAUUGUGCAGAUUAUUUUGAGUUAAUUGCAUUAUGCAGGUUAAAAUGUUUUUAAAGUGAACAUAUACAUCUAUCUAAGCUAACUGGGGAAA
rnacentral:lncRNA from 1 species